CUCUCGGCAACGGAUAUCUAGGCUCUCGCAUCGAUGAAGAACGUAGCGAAAUGCGAUACUUGGUGUGAAUUGCAGAAUCCCGCGAAUCAUCGAUUUUUGAACGCAAGUUGCGCCCGAAGCCAUUCGGCCGAGGGCACGUCUGCCUGGGUGUCACGCAUCGUUGCC
rnacentral:rRNA from 1 species